rnacentral:rRNA from 2 species
AUAACGACUCUCGGCAACGGAUAUCUCGGCUCUCGCAUCGAUGAAGAACGUAGCGAACUGCGAUACUUGGUGUGAAUUGCAGAAUCCCGUGAACCAUCGAGUCUUUGAACGCAAGUUGCGCCCGAAACCUUCUGGUCGAGGGCACGUUUGCCUGGGUGUCACA